AGUGGUCUUAUCCAGCCACUGCAGGAAUUGAUUAGCGUUGCACAGAGAGUGAGUCUUGGCAGCAUCAGACACAAGCAUGCAAAUUCGAGUGAAUACUGGAGGAUAGUGAGGAGGAUGUUUGUUUGUCUCGUGACGGGGAUUUCCGACGGGAAUGCUUCUUCAGGACGUCAAACGGAGACCAGCCUGAUCGGGAGAAAACGUUCCACCUCCUGUUCAGUGUGUGGCAGUGCUGUCUGCCGAGCUGCUUCUGCAGAUUAUUUCAUUAUGGGAAGAAUGUCAGCCUUGAUGCAAGAGAAGAUGGUGGAAGGUUGUGUUUGUCUGCUCACAGGCUGCAGUCAUUAGUCCUGGAGAGGGAGCUGAGCUCUGGCUGUAGUGGAUCUAAAAGUUUCCAUGACACCUCAAUAAACGCUUCCUUGUUAGUGAGCCCAGAAUCAACUUCUCUGCUUGGCCUUACCUCCUUGCCUCAGCGUUUAUAACCUCUUCUCUAUUGUUGCUGAUGAAUCAGCAGGGCAAUAAUUCAAAACCUGUCCAACCUGUAAGGCAUCUUUCCAGUUAAUAUAGUUGGAGAAGUAACGAUUUCAACAUGGCAACAACAAAGUUAUUAACUUUCUCUCCUCUCACACCUGCAACCCGUUUGUAAUCAGCCACCUGUUCCUUGUUCAGUAAUCAACCUCCUCUGUAUACAAACAUCUCAUUCUCAUGUAGCAGGAUGAAGCCUGCCCCAAGAUUGAGGACCCUUGGCCCCUAAUUUGGUAAUUAGGGGCCAGGGGUCCCAUGAGGAGGUCCUCAUGGGUGUGGCGUAUAAAGGGAAACUCUCACCUGUUUUCUUCAUGCCUACAUUUGGUCAUCCUGCAGGGGGAAGGUUGUUUGGGUCACUUGCAGUGGCCAUAACUCCGUCAGAAACAAACCAUCACCUUUAUCUGUCGACACUCACUAAGGACAAGGCCUGUUUGCUUGAGAGAAGUGAGGCAGCUGAUAAUGACUGCUGGGGCCGGGGACUUUCCUUUAAUAACCGACUCUGGGAUCUGACAGGAAAACAUCCAACCUGGACUUCAUGCUUCCAGUCAUCAAAUUUUACAGAGAUGAAUUUUUUUCUCCACUAAGCCUUGUAAAUUGUGGCUCAUGAAAACAUAUUUCAUGCUUGUCAAGGUUGCAAAAAGAGCUGAAAUUAAUUUGAAUUGCAAGCAAUAGAAGUCAUUUUAGCUGAUUUUUGAAAGCUGUCAUUGUGAAUGACUUUUUUUUUCUAAAAUCCCGAAUUUACCAAAAACUGUCAAUCCCCAUGAACUUUAAACUUUAUUAUACAUUAUCAUGCAACCUUAUGCUUUGAUGUAUUGAACAAGGAUGAAGUGCAGAAUAAUAAAUGGUUUUCUACAUUUUUACAGAAAA